GGUUGAUCCUGCCGGACCUUACUGCUAUCGGGAUGAGACUAAGCCAUGCGAGUCAGGCGCUCUCUAGCCAUGUUGGGAGUGCGGCAUACGGCUCAGUAACACGUAGCUAACCUACCCUUAGGAUGAGGAUAACCCCGGGAAACUGGGCCUAAUACUCAAUAAGCGGAAAUACCUGGAAUGGCUUUCCACUGAAAAGAUGUUAGGAACAUGCUUCUGACGUUGCCUAAGGAUGGGGCUGCGACCGAUCAGGUUGUUGGUGGGGUAACGGCCUACCAAGCCUACAACCGGUACGGGCCCUGAGAGGGGGAGCCCGGAGAUGGGAACUGAGACAAGGUCCCAGGUCCUACGGGGUGCAGCAGGCGCGAAAACUCCACAAUGCACGAAUGUGUGAUGGGGUCAUCCCGAGUGCUGUCCGUUGAGGAUAGCUUUUACUCAGUGUAAGGAACUGGGAGAAUAAAGGGGGGGCAAGUCUGGUGUCAGCCGCCGCGGUAAUACCAGCCCCCUGAGUGGUAGGGACGAUUAUUUGGCCUAAAGCGUCCGUAGCCUGCUCUGCAAGUCUUUCGUUAAAUCUAACGAUUCAAUCGUUAGGUCGCGUAAGAUACUGCUGGGCUCGAGGAUGGGAGAGGUCGACGGUAGUCCUAGGGUAGGGGUGAAAUCCUAUAAUCCUUGGAGGACCACCAGUGGCGAAGGCGGUCGACUAGAACAUGCCUGACGGUGAUGGACGAAAGCUGGGGGAGCGAACCGGAUUAGACACCCGGGUAGUCCCAGCUGUAAACGAUGCGGGCUAGGUGUUGGAACAGCUACGAGCUGCUCCAGUGCCGCAGAGAAGUCGUUAAGCCCGCCGCCUGGGAAGUACGGUCGCAAGACUGAAACUUAAAGGAAUUGGCGGGGGAGCACCACAAGGGGUGAAAGCUGCGGUUCAAUUGGAGUCAACGCCGGA
rnacentral:rRNA from 1 species